rnacentral:rRNA from 1 species
CCUACGGGCGGCAGCAGUGAGGAAUAUUGGUCAAUGGCCGGAAGGCUGAACCAGCCAUGCCGCGUGAAGGUCAGUGCCCUAUGGGCGUUAAACUUCUUUUGUGCGGGAGCAAUAAUGGUCACGUGUGGCCAGACGAGAGUACCGUACGAAUAAGCAUCGGCUAACUCCGUGCCAGCAGCCGCGGUAAUAAGGGGGAUGCCAGCGUUAUCCGGAUUUAUUGGGUUUAAAGGGUGCGUAGGCUGUGAGGUAAGUCAGCGGUGAAAUGCCCCCGCUCAACGGGGUGAAGUGCCAUUGAUACUGGCAUGCUGGAGUGCGGAUGCGGUGGGAGGAAUGUGUGGUGUAGCGGUGAAAUGCAUAGAUAUCACACAGAACACCGAUUGCGAAGGCAUCUCACGAAUCCGCGAUUGACGCUGAUGCACGAAAGCGUGGGUAUCAAACAGGAUUAGAUACCCCAGUAGUC